AGGUGGGCUUCCAGUUUUCUGCAAAUCUUUGGCUCCUUAUACUUAGCAGUUUUUUCUAUUUAAAAAGAGCAAAAGCAGGAGAGCACUGCCUGCAGUAAUCCUGUUUGAAAACGUGGGUACGUGUUGCUGUUGCCAUAAAUAACUACAUUCACCAGCCGCUUCAUUAUAGAUAUACAUGUGCAACUACUUAUUAGCGCAAAUAUCUAAUCAGUCAAUAACAUGGCAGCAACUCUGUGCUUUUAGGCAUGUAGACAUGGUCAAGACUGCUGAAGUUCAAACUGAGAAUCAGAACGGGGAAGAAAGAAGAUGUAAGUGAAUUUGAACGUGAUGUGGUUGUUUUCUCAGAAACUGCUGAUCUACUGAGAUUUUCCCACAAAACCAUCCUAAUGUUUAUAGAGCAUGGUCCCACAAAGCAGUUUUCUGGGUGAAAAUACAGUGGUCCUUCGCUAAAACGCGGUUCACCUUCCGCAGCCUCACUGUUUCACAAAUUUUUUUUUUGUUCAAUUUUUUUGUUUUGUUUUUUUACAGCAUAUUGUGUUCUGCGUCCUGAUCAGAGAUGGGGAGUAACGCGUUACUUGUAACGUAACGUAGGAACGCUGCGUUACUGCGUUACUAAAACCGUGAUUUUUUUGCAGAAUGUCUCAUGACAGUGACGUAAGCGAGUGCGCCGGUCGUGACAACAGCUGUGUGCAGAUCAACAAUGGAUCAUAUAUCGAGUGCGGGAGAGAGUAUGAGCGUGCAGCGUUUAAAGCGUGGAAGUACUGACCUUACUUUGAGUUUGAUUCCAUAAAAAGUGACAAAAACAUUAGCGUCCAUCGUGCGUGGGAAGAAAACUUCGUUUUAUAGUGAAAACUUCCAAGCAAGCACCGAGUGCGCUAUGACGUAAUGGGAAACUCACAGAGAAACUCACGGAUUCUUCCACUGACCGCCGCGGCACACCUGCACCAGGGUAAACCUCCGCCUACCGCGGUCCUGCUUUACAGGUGAAAAUAGAGCAACAGGACCGCUGAGUCUUUGACUUUAUUUAUUUUCUGCUGUGUUUUACUUGCAUCUAUUUGAAAGACUGAGUGUAAACACACAAAAAAAUUU
ensembl:lncRNA